UACGUAGGUCCCGAGCGUUGUCCGGAUUUAUUGGGCGUGAAGCGAGCGCAGGUGGUUUAUUAAGUCUGGUGUAAAAGGCAGUGGCUCAACCAUUGUAUGCAUUGGAAACUUGUAGACUUGAGUGCAGGAGAGGAGAGUGGAAUUCCAUGUGUAGCGGUGAAAUGCGUAGAUAUAUGGAGGAACACCGGUGGCGAAAGCGGCUCUCUGGCCUGUAACUGACACUGAGGCUCGAAAGCGUGGGGAGCAAACAGG
rnacentral:rRNA from 1 species